CUUCCUCAUCACCAUGUCAGCUGCUUCCCUCUGCCACACUCUUCUGCCAUGACAUUCUGCCUCAUCUGGAGCCCCACAGGAUGGAACCUGCUCUCUUUGGAUGGAGACCUCAGACAGUUUCUUUAUUCUCAAAGUUCAAACAGAGGUGGAACCAGAAGAUAAAGCAGCACAUGAGGCCAUUUACAUAAGAGACUGAUGAGGAUGUGGUUAGAUCAACUGGGGUCCAGCUGAUUUUCCCAACUUUGAGUUUUAAGGCAGAGGGCUGAGAUACCCUUACUCAAAGGAUUUCUGGAAGUUUCCAUUGGGAGCAGCACUAACUGAAUAGCUACUUACUCGAUGCAAUGUCUUUUACUGGGCACGAUGAAGGAGAAGUGAAAGAAACAGACAUCAAGCAGAACGGGCACCCUGGAGAGAAGAAGAAUGAUACCUGAAAGUAGUGCAAAGGUGUAUUUGGGAUAGAGUGGUAACUGAUGUCCUUAGUGGCCUGAAUGAUAGCCCCCUAAAAGACAAAUUUACACCUAAUUCCUAGAAACUGAGUACUAUUUCAUGUGGUGAAGCUAGAAGCAGGGCAAAAGGUUAAGGUAAAUCUCAACAGUAGGAUUUUGUCCUGGAUCAUCCACAAGGGCCAUAAAUGCAAUCACAAAUAUCUUUACAGGUGACAGGUAGAGGAGGUUUUGAGGGAGAAGAGAAAGAGGUAGUUAGACCAGGAGGUUAAGAUUGGAGUGAUCAAUGGAUGUUCUCUUUUUAUUUAUUUAUACGUGUUGGGGAAUAUCAAACCCAGGGCCUCACACAUGCCAGGCAAGCACUCUACCACUGAGCCGCAACUCCGGGAGGCUGAGACAGGAGGAUCAUGAGUUCAA